rnacentral:ncRNA from 1 species
GAAUAGCAUGUAUGAAUAGGUUCUUUUAAGUCAUGACUUAAAAGAUGAAAAGGGAAGUUCGGUGAAAUCCCGACGCGGUCCCGCCACUGUAAAUUGGAAGCAUUUCGUGUGAUGCCACUGUCAUUAAGAUGGGAAGGUGCGAAAUUGCAUUGCCAUAAGCCAGGAGACCUGCCUAUUCAUAGAGGAAGCU